AUUGAACGCUGGCGGUAUGCUUAACACAUGCAAGUCGAACGGAAACGAUACUAGCUUGCUAGUAGGCGUCGAGUGGCGGACGGGUGAGUAACGCGUAGGAAUCUGCCUGAUAGUGGGGGAUAGCCCGAAGAAAUUCGGAUUAAUACCGCAUAAUCUAUUCGUAGUAAAGUGGGGGACUUUCGAGCCUCACGCUAUCAGAUGAGCCUGCGUAAGAUUAGCUAGUUGGUAGGGUAAAAGCCUACCAAGGCAACGAUCUUUAGCUGGUCUGAGAGGAUGAUCAGCCACAUCGGGACUGAGACACGGCCCGAACUCCUACGGGAGGCAGCAGUGGGGAAUAUUGGACAAUGGGGGCAACCCUGAUCCAGCAAUACCGCGUGUGUGAAGAAGGCCUGAGGGUUGUAAAGCACUUUCAAUUGUGAAGAAAAGUUAACGGUUAAUAACCGUUAGCCUUGACGUUAACUUUAGAAGAAGCACCGGCUAACUCCGUGCCAGCAGCCGCGGUAAUACGGAGGGUGCAAGCGUUAAUCGGAAUUACUGGGCGUAAAGCGUGCGUAGGCGGUUUAUUAAGUCAGAUGUGAAAGCCCCGGGCUUAACCUGGGAACUGCAUUUGAAACUGGUCAACUAGAGUAUGGUAGAGGAAAGUGGAAUUUCUGGUGUAGCGGUGAAAUGCGUAGAUAUCAGAAGGAACAUCAAUGGCGAAGGCAGCUUUCUGGACCAAUACUGACGCUGAGGUACGAAAGCGUGGGUAGCAAACAGGAUUAGAUACCCUGGUAGUCCACGCCGUAAACGAUGAUAACUAGCCGUUGGGGGGAUUUACCCUUUAGUGGCGAAGCUAACGCGUUAAGUUAUCCGCCUGGGGAGUACGGCCGCAAGGUUAAAACUCAAAGGAAUUGACGGGGACCCGCACAAGCGGUGGAGCAUGUGGUUUAAUUCGAUGCAACGCGAAGAACCUUACCUGGUCUUGACAUCCUGCGAACUUUCUAGAAAUAGAUUGGUGCCUUCGGGAACGCAGUGACAGGUGCUGCAUGGCUGUCGUCAGCUCGUGUCGUGAGAUGUUGGGUUAAGUCCCGUAACGAGCGCAACCCCUAUCCUUAUUUGCCAGCACGUCAUGGUGGGAACUAUAAGGAGACUGCCGGUGAUAAACCGGAGGAAGGCGGGGACGACGUCAAGUCAUCAUGGCCCUUACGACCAGGGCUACACACGUGCUACAAUGGGAAGGACAAAGAGCCGCGAAGCCGCGAGGUGUAGCUAAUCUCAGAAACCUUUUCGUAGUCCGGAUUGGAGUCUGCAACUCGACUCCAUGAAGUCGGAAUCGCUAGUAAUCGUAGAUCAGAAUGCUACGGUGAAUACGUUCCCGGGUCUUGUACACACCGCCCGUCAUACCAUGGGAGUGGGUUGCACCAGAAGUGGCUAGUCUAACUUAGUGAGGACGGUCACCACGGUGUGAUUCAUGACUGGGGUAAAGUCGUAACAAGGUAGCCCUACCGGAAGGUGGGGCUGGAUCACCUCCUUAAGAAAAGUACGAGUGUUCACACAAGUUGUUUGAUAAUAUUAAAGUAAGAGAAAAAAAGACCAAUAACCCAAAUUCAAUGUAAUUGAUAUUAAGGGUCUGUAGCUCAGUUGGUUAGAGCGCACCCCUGAUAAGGGUGAGGUCGGUGGUUCAAAUUCACCCAGACCCACCAUUUUUCUGGGUUAUUAGUUUUCUAUUGGGGCUAUAGCUCAGCUGGGAGAGCGCCUGGUUUGCAUCCAGGAGGUCAGCAGUUCGAUCCUGCUUAGCUCCACCAUUUUCUCUAGUGAAAACUUAAAUAAGACUUGCUUGUAAGUCUUAUUUAAGUUUUUAUACCAAGCCUUGGUAACCACCUUGGUUCGGAGCUCUUUAACAAUUUGGAUAUGAAGUAAAGUUUGUUAAAUACAAUACAACGUAAGGUGUAUUGCAUUGACACAACAAUUUCAAAAAAUAUGGAUUCUCAUUGAUAGAUUUAUUUCUAUCAGUGAUAAAAAAGAAUUCACCGAUUGUAUCGCAAGAUACAGUUAGUGACUUCUCGGUGUAAUAAGAACCAUUAACCCAGAUACUUUGGGGUUAUAUGGUCAAGUGAAUAAGUGCAUACGACGGAUGCCUUGGCAGUAGAAGGCGAUGAAGGACGUGAUAAUCUGCGAUAAGCUUCGGUUAGCUGAUAAUAAGCUUUAACCCGGAGAUCU
rnacentral:sRNA from 1 species